rnacentral:rRNA from 1 species
CUACGGGUCGCACCAGUGGGGAAUAUUGCACAAUGGGCGAAAGCCUGAUGCAGCGAUGCCGCGUGAGGGAAGAAGGUCUUCGGAUUGUAAACCUCUGUUUUCAGGGACGAUAAUGACGGUACCUGAGGAGGAAGCUCCGGCUAACUACGUGCCAGCAGCCGCGGUAAUACGUAGGGAGCGAGCGUUGUCCGGAAUUACUGGGUGUAAAGGGAGUGUAGGCGGGAAAACAAGUCAGAUGUGAAAACUAUGGGCUCAACCUGUAGACUGCAUUUGAAACUGUUUUUCUUGAGUGAAGUAGAGGUAAGCGGAAUUCCUAGUGUAGCGGUGAAAUGCGUAGAUAUUAGGAGGAACAUCAGUGGCGAAGGCGGCUUACUGGGCUUUUACUGACGCUGAGGCUCGAAAGCGUGGGGAGCAAACAGGAUUAGAUACCCCGGUAGUC